GAACACAAAAUGGCGACACGUGGUUAGCAUUCGUCGCCAACGAGAAAUUGGGGUCGGCCCGAAAGCUCUAGAAUGCACCCCUAUUCCUCCCCGGGGCCAUUCCCGCUCAACGAGUUUUAUGACCUAAAAAACCCCACAGGCUGGUCUGAAGGUCGGAGGCCUAAUUUUAACGCGUUUUCCUCCCUUUAAUUUGAAACGGGAACGCGAAUAACUAAAAUGUGGGCACAAUAUUUAACCUCUUGCUUUUUUAAAGCUUAAUAAUGGAUAGUAGGGGGCAGUAUCAAGGGAUAAUUUGGGUCCCCACAGUACCAAAGCAUUUAGAAACCUCUGCUUAAUUUAAGGAAUGAGAUAAAUUACUGCUUUUCUAGAUUUGGUAGCAUGGGCUGUUGUGCUGGAGAGAACGAGAGCUACGAAGAGACUAGAAUGCCUCUGACUUUUUCAUAGGACAGUUGGCCGAGGAAGACACUUAAAGAUGAAGUGCUUAAUUCAAGGUCACAGAAUGUCGGGGAUGGACCUCCAGAUUUCCUUACUGACCUGCAUUAUCUUGUGGAUACCUGAGUGAAUUCCACACCACCCAUUUUAUAGAUGAAGCCACUGAGACGUGGAGCAACUGACUGAGUAGUCACUGCCCCACCCCUGCCUGGAGCCUCACACAUGACUUCUCUUAGUGACCACAGGUUGGUUGAGGGGUUUAACAAGGCUAAGAAGGUGAGACGUGGUCUUGUAACACAGUGGUUAAGAAUGUGACUUUGGAGCCAGCCUGCUAGGGGCUGAAUUCUGACUCAGCCAUUUAUUAACUGUGUGACCUUAGGGAGGAGGACCUGGUUGAUAGAAGAAUUUAUCUCAUAGUCUUAACAUCCACUGUAAUUCCGAACUUUGAGGACGAUAGAGAUCAGUGGGCUUUGACUGCCCAGCAUGCAGUCUCCAUUCUUAGAAAGUGAACUCAUUUCUUUUCCAGGUAGGUUCCCAAGCCUGUAAAAUGUAAGUCUUAUGUUGCUGAGGGCCAUCUUGCCACCCCGAGGGGAACGCUGCCUGA
rnacentral:antisense_RNA from 1 species